GUGCACCCUCUUCUUGUCUUCCAUUUUCGAUCCACUUUGUUCAAGUCUCACACUGCUUACGAAGUGAAUCGUUUUUCUUCGUCACUUUUUGCACCAAAAAAAUACAAAAAAAACAUCGUUCAAUUUCAAAGGUUAUGGAAGAAAGAACUAAAAAAAGGACGCAGUGCUCAAUGGGCGAUAAAACGAAUGGAAGCUUUUCACUUUAGCCGCGUGCCUAAAAUAGGGACGCGUGGAGCAUUUCGUCCGGUCCCAGUAGGGGCAUCAUAAAAAAUGGCUGCAGAUCCGUAACCGGAAUUCUCGGUGGAGUUUACGGUGGGCUUAUGGUUGCCGCCCGAUAUGGUACGUCUCUGCGUCAUAAAUAUACUGUUGCUGUACUAAUUUUUUGAACCCAUUCACUUUCGUCCUACCUACUCCUUCCUCGCUGGAAGCAAGGCAGAGCGUAAGACAAGAAGGUACACUUCACUAAACCAAAAGGAACGUUCCUUUUAUUACUACAGCUGCCACACGUUAUACGAUCAUCAUAAUGAACGCUCGUGAACAACCGUGAUCGAGUAUCAUAAAAAUAAAAAAAAAACAUAAUCUUGUAUGCUUCCUGCCAGUGUUUCCAACAUUUUUUUAUAUACAACUGAAGGUUGAAGAUUUAAUUAACGCGGAAAUGGUUGAAGAAAAUUUUGACAAAACAAUUUAUAAAAUCUGACGCAAAGUAAAACACUCUACAACGGUAUAGGUGAGGUACAAAAACUCGUGUCUCUGCAUUAAUGUGCAUCUCAUCAGCUUACCUUUUUCAACCGAUUCUGCCCUCGUUCCCACCACUUUGUACAAAGCAGUCCAAAAAAUCACAUCGCAUAAAUUUUGCUCAUGCAGAUUUGGAAUUAAUUUUCACAUCGGCAAACUUUUCUCAGGUACAACGUAGUACUCGAGUUCGAUCAAUGUUCAUGCAUAAUUCAUAGCUUGAAAGCUAUUGUUUUCCUUCUAAAAUCAGAGAGGAUCAGCAUCCUUCAAUCCUUCUUUGCAAAAAAAAGAAGAAUCUCAAAAAACGGGAAUUCGCCGAACAAACGAGACGAGACAAUCAAUGUACCGUUCAACGUACAACGAGAAUGGAUUGCAACGGACUGAAGCCAAACCUUUUUUAGUUGUGCAUUACUGCAACUAAUAGAUAAGGUUUUCCCUUUCAAAAACGAUACCUGUAAACAUCGGAUUCGAAGUGGGUGAAAAACAAAAAAACGAUAACAUAGUCCUCUAUUACACUUCCUGACGGUUCAAUUUGGCAAUUAAUUUUAAUUUCUCAAUCAUUACAUUGAUUCGCGGAAGGGUUUAUCCGACGAAAAGCUCGAGGUCUCGGAUGAGUACACAAUCCCAUCCCCUUUGCGUAUCCCUCACGCUCCGUGCCGUAUCCCCGGGUCGGUCAAAAGUGUUAAUUAUUCUAAUGAAUUGCUCUUCAGUUGGGCGUUCUUCGUAGCGGCAGCACCCUGUAUACGCACGACCCGCGCUUUUCCGCAAAAGGUCUCAUCAAGAUUAAAGCUCGGAAAAACACGGCGGCGUGUUAGCUGGUGUCGUUAUCUUGGUUACGUUAAUGAUCCCCCAGGCAAUUCCCCGUAAGGCGAACCGAAGAUAGACGUUCCUUUUUCUUUACGGCCAUAAAUUUACCUUGAUCACACCACCCACAUCUAACCAUUCGCAACGGAACCUUAAACUCAAACGACACAGCGGGCACGUCUCUAAGUGUGUGUGUCCCGGGGCCAAAAUGUUGGAUUCCAACAUUGAAAAUAGACGAUAUUAUUUGAAAACCAAAGCAAAAGCUUUCCCGAAAGCACAACACACCAACAAUUCCGGCCAACGGGAGAUUUUAUUGGAAAAUUUUGCCCGAUAGCGAUCAACCGAAAUCCAAACGGAUGGAAAUAAAAUAUACCACUAAACGAUGGCAGGCAAAAUAGUCUCAUUUUUUGCAGAACAAAUGGGAUACGGAAAUGGCUCGAGAGAGAAAAAAAAUAACGCCUAAAAUUAGGCAAACAAUCCGUGGACAUGACCAUUACCGGUGACGGCAUCAAGCAUCUCCACACGGGAGGAUCACAAACUUUACCGAGAUUAGGAAGCACGGCUCAGCAACAAACACGGCCAGCAGAAUGGUAUGGCUUUAAUUUUAAUUAAACCCUCUAGAACGAUGGCUUACCCUUAGCCCCAUCAUUACACGCCUCGGUAGGUUUAGAUUGGGAUGUUCCGCACACGUUUUCGCAUACCUGAAAAAGGAGUACAUUAAACCGUACCAGCAUGCCAUUCAAACACCACAGAAACAGAUGAAAAAGAACAAACAGCACAACCGUGAAACCAUCACAGCAAACCUUUGCUGCAUUCGUCCUCAAGAGAUUCGAAAAAGAAAACGCAACCUUUCGACCUACGCGCAAGAUCUUCAUUCAGGGCAUCUUCUCCACCGAACCUUUGGUGUCCUUUGUUUGGGUCUCUCAACAAAAUAAAACCGAAACAAAGCAACAACGAAAAAAAACCCACCAUUGAAAAUCUCAAACAACCACCUCGUGGAUACGCGGCGGGAAAAGUUUUAAUAAGAUAUCCCUCCUACAAGAUCAAGCAGCAGGAAACAUGCGGGCGAGAGGAGUGGCACGUAAUUAAGGAUUUCUCGCGCGUGGCACCUUCCCAUCGAGCGUCGAGAGCAACGGAUAUACCGAAAUGUGAAAGAUGUGCUCCGCAUUCACGUGAAAUUACCAGGUCUGGUUCGUUAGAUUCCCGUGUCCCGUGCAAUGAGGUUUGAGUGUGAGUUGGCACCGAAAGCCACGCCACGGGUUCACUUUCAAUUUUACAAUUUCAACACAAAACCACGAAAUUGUUUAUCUUUUCCCGCGCUUGUUGGGUAAAGUUUUAACGACGUACAAGUAUACAGAUGUGCUGGUUUCAACAGUUUUGCGCCGAAAGGCAGGCAAUCCGCAUGGCUUCGUAUUUAGAGCUGUGAGUCGAACUGCAAUUAGAUAUUGUUAAUCGGAUGCUCACGAAUUACUCUAAGCUUGGACGAUGUGUAAAGCUGAGAGAAGAAAAAAAGAAUAUUUAAAAUAUAUCUAUACAAAAGUUUGUUCUAGAAUUAUUAAAACCCUUCUUAAAACUAGGAUCAAAAUUAUUCACCAAGAAGUUAGAAUACAUUUUCAAACAUCUGCCUAUCGGCAAAGUAAUUCCCAGUCUAUUAGCCCUUAAGCAACUCCUCAGAAUAAAGCUAUUAUGAACCUUCUCAACAACUACUCACGUCUCCCGUUUGCACAAUUUGCUGAUUGCAUUAGAACCAAUUGACAAAUGACGACGUAAAUCGUAAAUGGCGGCAAUAAUUUAAUUUCGCAAUGGUUCGCUCACGGCUGGACUGCAUAAUUUCGAACCGGAAGCAUAAAUUGGAAAGGCAAAGGGAGUAUAGUUACAUAAAGAGCAUCAUUUUCCAUUUCCAUUGUCUUAUGAUGCUGUUGAUUUGAUUUGAAUUCUUUUUUUUAAUUUUAUCUGAUUGCAUUGUUCAAAGUAAUCAGGAAAAUGCUUUUCGUUCAUGAAUACCUGAAUACUAACCUUUUUAGUUAAGAUACUAAAGUUAUUCCGGUUUUUUGACAACAGGAGACAAAGGGUUUAAUAUGCAAUACCUGCAGGAGUAUAUCAAAAGCCAACUCUUAUUAUCCAAUAAUAUUUUAUUCCACUACCUUCAAGCACUGUCCUUCACGCAGAUCGUUCAGGAUGAAAUGUGCAAUAAAAAUGAGUUUUAAAAUUAAUUACGCUUCUUCAGUCCGCUGGCUGCGUUGUACAGUACUCGUUGUACACCAGCACGAAUUGAUUCUUAAUUAAGUUACGAUAUUGUUUUCACUUUUCCAACCAUGUUUCGCUUUCCCAUCGUAGUGCCUCUCGCUUACAGAAUUUUCCAAUCAUUUGACAAAUGAGACCCGUCCAAAAAAGGAUGCACCGACGCGGAAAACAAGUGCAUCAGAAAACCAAGAGUAUUCUUCACUUUUCGUUGGAUUCUUCCUCCAAAAAAGAACGCGGAAUUGUUUCGUGUCAUUGGUAAUGAUUUUUACCACCCGAUGCCGUGGGUCCAAAAAUUUGGGAUUAAGCAAGGCCACAAUUCGCGCAAUACUAACGGUGCAGCACAACAGUAAGCUGCGUGUGGUCUCUUACGAGGACGAAACUUGGUGACCUCAUCUACCAGGGAAAGAAAUAUUCAUCACAUCACCGAUCCUGGUGUAGGUGUGCUGGUGGUAAAAUUAAUUAAUAUUUAUCAUAAUCCGGCUGAGCGCUAGCGAAUGAGGUCACAAAUGAUGGUGCAUCUGUGAUGCUUAAUUUUACACGCACCACGAUCGAUGCGAGGACUUCACCGGACACAACUACAGGAAAAUGAAGCACCAUAAAAGGACCCUGGAAAAAACUGUAAUAAUUCACUGACUUCCGAGUACACCGCAGAUUCUCGCGAAACAUAUUUGCAGCCGAAGUGCAUAAGGUUAUGCUUUUGUUAGCCGCGUGGUAGUUCCCCAUUGUUGUGAGGACACAAUAACGCACGAUACGAUACGAUCCGCAGCAUCGAAGCGCGAACGGAACAACACUGUGGGCACGUGUCUUUUUUACGGAAGCAUUGGGAAAAUUGCAUUUUAAUGAUACGCUCCGGUAGACAUUGUGUCAGUUGUAAUACACGUUAUCCAGUGCAUGGGGCAAGGCUCGCAUUUUGACAGUUAGCACGAAAAUUACUUGGGACAAAAAAGAAGAAGCAUAAAACAUGGUUCUGCAUUAUCCGGAACAAUGAAAAGUGUUAACGGAAUGCGAUGAGGAAUUUGUACGUAUUCAAAACGCUGGAAUGGGCAGAUAUGGUAUGGGAGUAAGAUAUUCAAUUUCAUUGCAUGUUCAUCGAUAUUGCAUUUUAAAUGGAUAUUGGAUCAACUUUCAACAGCAAAGAAAAGGCUUCACAUUCGGCACUUUGUUGGUUUGCACAUUUUACUCCUAACGGUUUUGUUUUUUUUUCCCAAAAAUGAAUAUUACUUUUACAUGUCAAAGAAAUGUUUGUUAAGCAUGGAAAUGAGACAAUGUGGUACAGUUCAUUUUGUUUGUUGCAUUUCACAUUCUUGCUUCAUUAAAAUUUGCUGAUGAUUUAAACAAAAUUGCAAUAUUAAAAUUAAUGUAAACGAUGAAGUUUUUUUUAACAUAGUUAU